rnacentral:lncRNA from 1 species
AUGAGAAGAAUAAGCAAACGGAGGCGCAAGAGAAAGAAAAGCACUUGGAUAAAGAAGGGGAGCUGGAUGCACGGAGGAAGAUGUGGGAAAAAGGGAAGCUCUAGCUGUCCAGAUUGGGAGGAAGUCAGAAGUGAAUCUGGCCUUCUAACAGCAACAUGGAAGUGGAAGCUGGGCCAGAGUUACCGCGCUGCGAGCCUGCCAUCAAUGGGGAAAGUGUUUUCCAGAUGUCAUGUUGCUGGUCAGCCUGGCUGCUGUGAAAAUCCCAUCUCCCAAAACUGGAUGAAAGGGGAACACUUGAAAAUAAUAAUAAUAAUAAUAAAAAAGCACACUAAAAAGAAGGUCUGAGGUAUACAGAAGGGCUUACACAUCCCGGGAACAAAAGAGGGAGGAAGAGGAUGGCAAGAUGGGUGGGAAAAGAAGCCAAGAAAUAAAUCCAGCCUAUUUAAGACUUCCA